rnacentral:rRNA from 1 species
AGAGUUUGAUCCUGGCUCAGAUUGAACGCUGGCGGCAGGCUUAACACAUGCAAGUCGAGCGGUAACAGAGAUAGCUUGCUAUCUGCUGACGAGCGGCGGACGGGUGAGUAAUGCUUGGGAAUAUGCCUUAUGGUGGGGGACAACAGUUGGAAACGACUGCUAAUACCGCAUAACGUCUACGGACCAAAGGGGGGGAUCUUCGGACCUCUCGCCAUUUGAUUAGCCCAAGUGAGAUUAGCUAGUUGGUAAGGUAAAGGCUUACCAAGGCGACGAUCUCUAGCUGGUUUGAGAGGAUGAUCAGCCACACUGGGACUGAGACACGGCCCAGACUCCUACGGGAGGCAGCAGUGGGGAAUAUUGCACAAUGGGCGAAAGCCUGAUGCAGCCAUGCCGCGUGUGUGAAGAAGGCCUUCGGGUUGUAAAGCACUUUCAGUUGUGAGGAAAGGGUUGUAGUUAAUAGCUGCAAUCUGUGACGUUAACAACAGAAGAAGCACCGGCUAAC